rnacentral:rRNA from 1 species
GACGUAGGGCGCGAGCGUUGUCCGGAUUUAUUGGGCGUAAAGAGCUCGUAGGCGGCUCGUCGCGUCGACCGUGAAAACCCGCAGCUUAACUGCGGGCUUGCGGUUGAUACGGGCGGGCUAGAGUUCGGUAGGGGAGACUGGAAUUCCUGGUGUAGCGGUGAAAUGCGCAGAUAUCAGGAGGAACACCGGUGGCGAAGGCGGGUCUCUGGGCCGAUACUGACGCUGAGGAGCGAAAGCAUGGGGAGCGAACAGG